AGUAGAAUGGCUGAGGCUUAAGGUGAAAGAUUGUAAAUCUUUUUAGGAGUAAUACUCUUCUACUA
rnacentral:tRNA from 1 species